CAGAGAGACUCCGCCCCCUUACGUGCCGCUCUGACAGAAGCACCGCCCCCGGACACUCUGACCCCUUCCCCACCGCCCGACGCCUUCCUCUGAGACGCAGAUAUGACACGUUCCCUCUCGGCUACCGUCCUGUGGUUGCCGCGGUGACCAGCUGGGGCUGGCGCCGGGCCCGGUAACGGAGCCAUGUCCCCUCUUACCGGGAAUAAGAGCCUGACCUCAGGCACCGACCCCACCAGCUCAGGCCCAGGCUGUCGCAAUGGGGCCCUUAUGGGCAGUUUUGGCAUCUUCUUGCAGGGACUGCUGGCGGUGAUGGCCUUCAGCAUCCUUAUGUUGAAACGUUUAAGAGAACCAAAGCAUGAGCGACGUCCUUGGAGGAUAUGGUUCCUGGAUACGUCCAAACAAGCUAUAGGAAUGCUGUUCAUUCACUUUGCAAAUGUCUACUUAUCAGAUCUUACACAGGAGGACCCAUGUUCACUGUACCUAAUUAACUUCCUCCUAGAUGCUACACUUGGCAUGUUACUUAUCUAUGCAGGGGUCCGAGUGGUCAGCUGUGUUGUGGAGUGGCAACAGUGGGAUUCUUUGCGGUUUGGAGAAUAUGGGGAUCCUAUCCAGUGUAAUGCCUGGGCUGGACAGUGCGCCCUCUACAUCCUUAUUAUGAUGUUUGAGAAGACUGCAAUGGUCCUUGUCCUGCUUAUACCCAAUCUCAAAGAGGUUGCAAAGUUAAAUCCAUUAGCGUCUAAUAACCCAGAGCUGGAGUUGGCGAUUGUGAUGCUCAUUGUACCGUUCUUUGUUAAUGCAUUAAUGUUCUGGGUGGUGGACAACUUUCUAAUGAAGAAGGCCAAAACAAAGGCCAAGAUGGAAGAGAAAGAGGGCAAUCCAGAAUCCCGAAACGGGAACAAAGUGCGGUAUCGACGGGCGGCCUCAUACGAUGACUCGGAGUCUGAAAUACUCAUAUCGGCAGAUGAUGAAAUGGAGGAGACCGAUGGUGAGGAAGACUUGCGCAAAUUAACUAAUUCCAAGGCUCUUAAGAAAAAAAAGCACCGGUUUGGCCUGCCUGUAUGAUGCUUCUCUUCAGAUUUUGCACAAUGCCUCCCUUGAACUGAGGUUUGCAGGAGGAGACUGGGUCUGGAUUCUUAGCACAGGAACUCUUCAAGCCACUACCUCUACUGUCCUGUUGGCUUCAGAGAUGGGGGUGCAAAAACCUGUGUGUUCAGGAGGCCCUCUCCAAGAUAGGGAGUGCCAAGGAUUGGGCACUAGACUUUCAUUGCUCUACAUGCUGCUGCCCCCUUACACAAGGUCAUACAAGGGAAAAGGAGCAACAGCCUGCUAUUCUCUAAAGAGCAACUGUUACAUUAUGUUCCCUUUCAGUUUGAGUAGAUCUUUUUUCAUUACACCCAACUUUUUAUUUUUCUCUUCCCAGUUAACUUGUGUUUGCCCAUUUUAAUGUCUGAAUCUAGACACACCUCCUGAACCUGCUGUGUAUAUAACAGUCUGAGGGCUUGCUUUUUAUUUAUAUCCCUUUUCAAGAAACUCUGCAUCAAGCUUCUCAUCAACUGUCAAAGAAUGUGAUGUACAUACCCAGAUACACCUAUCCCGAAGUCGGGGACCUACAAGAAAGCUGGACAUCUAUUUCUCCAAGCAUUCCAAUGUAGUCCUUUUGUGCGCAUUACUAUGUUUUAAAGUGGUGUAAAGAAUGUUUUUCCAGUUGCGAUGAUGAAAACACUCUUCCCAUACUGUUACAGGAGAAAAAGAGCAACAUUUGAUUUAACUGCUUUUAUUUUAUGAAACUCCCAAGGUACUUUCUUCCAAGGCCCUUGCAGCACAAAUGCAACUAAUGACUAUGACUAUGAACUGAGGAAUUCCAAGAGGCUAGCCUUUGGAGCUGUUGGAUGCAGCGGUGUCUGGGUGUGGAUUAAAAGAUCAAAAGUCAGAAGGUUGACACCAUAUGGACGGCAGGGUAAAAAGGUCACCAUGCACAUAGCCGACACACAGCAGGUCAACACAGUCUUUUUGGUGGCAUUUUGUAUGUUUAACCAUAUAUGAUCUAAAUUAUUGAAUGUGUAGAAACGUGUACUAUCAUGGACUCGCCGCGCUUCAGGCAAGGUGGCUUGCUAGAAAGAUAAGAAAGGUAAUAGAUGGUGACAUGGAUAGUUAGAUUUAGCGAAAGAUGAAAAAUCAUGAAACACUUUUCAUAGUCCAGAUGCGUCAUUGAAUUUUGUGACUCUAUGAGCCCUUGGCUCUAGUUACCAUUCCAUAUUCCAUACUUCUGUACAGAUAUGGCACACCAAGGAGGCGUAUUGCACUGCUGAAGACUGUUCCAAUGUUUGAUUGAGUUCACAACAUAUGGAACCCCUAUAAAUGCUGAUAAACCCAGUAGACUUACCAGGCACUCAACCUGAGGGGAUUUUCUUAAUUCAGUAAAUUGACCAUAAAUUACAAUGAAAACAAUUUUAAGACUCCAUCAUCUGUAUUCUACAGGACUAUGAUUUAUUUCUUUUUAUUUAAAAGGUGCUCUUACAUGUAAAAGUUUUCACUCAGUUCAUUAUUAUUUAUUACCAGUUAUUUAUAUAGCACACACAUAUUCCGCAGCACUUUACAGAGAAUAUUUGGCCAUUCACAUUGGUCCUUGCCCCAGUGGAGCUUACAAUCUAUAUUCCUUACCACAUGUACAUACAUUCAUGCUAGGGUUAAUUUUUGGUUGGGAUCCAAUUGACCUACCAGUAUAUUUUUGGAUUGUGGGAGGAAACCCAGGCAAGUAUGGGGAGAAUAUACAAACUCCACACUGUUAGGGCCAUGAUGGGAAUCGAACCCAUGACCUCAGUGCUGUGAGUCAGUAAUGCUAACCAUUACACCAUCUGUAUAUAAGUAGUACACUGUGAAUUAUAUAUAAAAACAUUAAAUACAAUACUUUCUUGUCAUACAUAAGUCUUUCAGCUGAAGUCUAUGAAAUGUAUAUCUCUGAAGAAAAGAAUUGUAGCCAGAGAGAAUAUGAAGAGAAUAAACAAGCAAGCUCCUC